rnacentral:misc_RNA from 1 species
UUUCCGUAGGCGAACCUGCGGAAGGAUCAUUAAAAAUGAAGCCGGGAAACCGGUCCUUCUAACCCUUGAUUAUCUUAAUUUGUUGCUUUGGUGGGCCGCGCAAGCACCGGCUUCGGCUGGAUCGUGCCCGCCAGAGGACACAACUCUGUAUCAAAUGUCGUCUGAGUACUAUAAAAUAGUUAAAACUUUCAACAACGGAUCUCUUGGUUCUG